UCGAGCCUGACCAACUUCCCUUGACCCCAUUUACUGUCUGCUAUCCAUGGUGACAAAGGGAAAAAGCUUCCAUCGUACUUAGGUGAGCAUCCACGGUUAGGUUUCAAGGGGGAUAAGACUCAACGUGGGUGGCCACACGGAGUGUGGAUCCCAAGCGGCGGUGGGGAGGCGAGCCACUUCGCUGGGGCGUCCGCGGCCACGUUUCUCUUGCAUGGGCGACACAGGGGAACGGUGGCUGCCAUCACAUUCAGCCUCCUCAACCUUGGGGGAGAGAGCGAGUGCUAAAUCCGGCCUGUUGGAGCCUCUCUUUUUCGGAUGAACUGAUUGUUGGUCGCCGCGAAGGCGCCCUCUACCGCUGCGUGAACAGGAGCUUGUCGCCCAACGCCUCGGCCGGUCACCGAAGUCGCCACCGUCGGCGACCACGUCCCUCAGUUUCUCCUUCUCCUUUUCCUUUCUUCUUUUGUGUCCUCUCACGCUCACACCCUACUCCCUAUCUUUCUUUGGAUGAGGAGGGCGCCGCGGUCAGUGGAGGAAGCCGACAGAUCCUUCGAUGCCGAGCCCGGAUUCGCCCGUCUUCCUCGUCGGCAGAUACCGGCGGCCAGCGUACCCACCCAAAUAUGUCCCCCUUCCACCCUCCAUCAACGCCCACGAGCGCAGCAAGGGUGGCCUCCCUUAUGUGAGCACGUGCGCACGACGUCCGCCUUCUCGUCCUUCGUUUNNNNN
rnacentral:lncRNA from 1 species